rnacentral:rRNA from 1 species
AACCAGACUCCUACGGGAGGCAGCAGUGGGGAAUAUUGGGCAAUGGGCGCAAGCCUGACCCAGCAACGCCGCGUGAAGGAAGAAGGCUUUCGGGUUGUAAACUUCUUUUCUCAGGGACGAAUAGAUGACGGUACCUGAGGAAUAAGCCACGGCUAACUACGUGCCAGCAGCCGCGGUAAUACGUAGGUGGCAAGCGUUAUCCGGAUUUACUGGGUGUAAAGGGCGUGUAGGCGGGAAAGCAAGUCAGAUGUGAAAACCAUGGGCUCAACCUGUGGCCUGCAUUUGAAACUGUUUUUCUUGAGUACUGGAGAGGCAGACGGAAUUCCUAGUGUAGCGGUGAAAUGCGUAGAUAUACGGAGGAACACCAGUGGCGAAGGCGGCCUGCUGGACAUUAACUGACGCUGAGGCGCGAAAGCGUGGGGAGCAAACAGGAUUAGAUACCCGAGUAC